UCUUGGAUAACCAUUGUGCAAUGAUCCAAAUCAGGAAGCUAACAGCAACACAUUAUUUUACUAGCUAAUAUGUACACCUUACUCAGGUUCUGUCAAUUGUUCCAAUCAUGUCUUUGUAGGAAAAGAAAACGUUUCCACAUUCAGUUGUUAUGUCUUAUGUGUUUGGCUGGUACCUUAGUCUUUGUCUUUUAUAACCUUUCAGUUUUGAGAACUGGUUGGUUAUUUUGUAGAAUGUCCCAGAGUUUGAGCUUCUCUUAUGGUUUCAUCAUGAUUAGAUUCGACGUAUGCAUUUUGGGCAGAAAUCUACCAGAAGUGAUGCUCUGUUUUCUGUGCAUCGUAUCAGGAGACAUAUGAUGUUGGUAUGUCUUAUUACAAAAGUGUUGUUUUUUUUCUUUUGUAAUUAAUAAAUAUUUUAUGGGGAGAUAUUCUGAGGCUAUGUGUUUUGUUACUCCUCAAACUUUUACCUACUUUUAGCAUCCAUUUAUGAUUCUUGCCUGAAUUAAUCAUUACUGUGAUGAUUGCCAAAUGGCGCUUUUCUAAUUCCAACAUUUCUUUUUUACUGAUUAGUUGGGAUCUCCUUUAAGGAAGAGCUUUCCUUUUUAUUUACUUGUUCAUUCCUUCCUUUCUUCAUUCAUUCACAUGAGGCUGGACUCACGGAUUCUCAUUUUAUUCAGUGGGUUUUAGAUAGAAUUUUACUUGUAUUGAUACCCUUGUAACUUUUUUAACAGAUCAUUUGUUGUGAGAGAAACCAAUAGGCUGUUUCCCCAAAUUCUAGGGGUGUGAACUUUGCACUCAGUGGAUCUUUUCUUCGGGAUCUUGUUCUGGGUGGAAUCAAUUUGAUGGUGGCCCUCACUACUUCCAGUCAUACGUGGCUUAAGAAUGUGAUGGUUUAGGAGCAUAAUACAUGGGAGAUACUUCCUGCUGUAUUUAAAAGUUAAAAUGUGGAAGUUUGAUGUCCGGUCCGAAGGGCGAGGCACGGACCUCCCUGGACCAGAGCAGGUUGGUGGCCCCGGGCGGCCUCCCGUUGGCGGCUCUGGGAUAGAAACCGCGGCGCAUUUGUAAGUGCUUGCGCGUGGUUCCUCCUCGUUGUCCUGUUGAAGUUGCUCUUGGUCUGGAACGCGCGCUAGUCGUUGUCUUUCAGCACUCCGCUUUCCACACCGCACGCUUUUCAGUUAUGCUUUACAUUUCUCCUCGACUUAGAUUUCGUGAGCAAAAUGGGCCCAUGUUUUAUUUUUUCUCGUGCGUGGGCCGUCGUGAGGCUUUAAACAGGAAACUGGGACAGCACCCGGGCUCCGCUACCCGUCACCGGGCCUUCCGCGCCCCUCGCCCCACGCCGC
rnacentral:lncRNA from 10 species